rnacentral:rRNA from 1 species
AAUAGGAAAUUUAAGAGCGCAUGGCGGAUGCCUUGACUGGAAGAGGCGAUGAAGGACGUAGUAUGGCUGCGAUAAGCUUCGGGGAGGUGCCUAGCAACCUUUGAUCCGGAGAUUUCCGAAUGGGGAAACCCCUUCGACUAGAAGUCGAAGACUCUGUCGCAAGAUGGAGAGCAAACUUGGGGAAGUAAAACAUUUCAGUACCCAAAGGAGUAGAAAACAAUCAGCUUUAUUUUUCAUAUGCUCCGAUGCAAAUCGGAGUAGAUGAAAAAAUAGAGCUUGUGAUUCCCUUAGUAGCGGCGAGCGAAAAGGGAAAAGCCCAAACUUAACUUCGCAAGGAGUUGAGGGUUAUAAGAUGAUGAUGUCCUCCAUUUAUCGAAGGAGAAGAGUUAUAAAAUUUUUUGUUAAUUGAAUCUGCUGGAAAGCAGAGCCGUAGAGGGUAAUAGCCCUGUAAGUGAAAACAAAAAAACUCUUUUAUCAUUGUUCUUGAGUACCCCGAGACACGAAUGGCUUGGGGGAAUUCGGCGGAACUAACCGCCAAGGCUAAAUACUCUUCCAGAUCGAUAGUGAACUAGUACCGUGAGGGAAAGGUGAAAAGUAGCCCGAGAGGGCAGUGAAAUAGACCUGAAACCAUGCGUUUACAAGGAGUCAUAGUUCGAGCCGUAAGGCCGAACAAUGGCGUGCCUAUUGAAGAAUGAGCCAACGAGUUUAUGUGUACUGCGUGAUUAAUCUGCCUCAGGCAGAGCAGUCGUAGGGAAACCGAGUGUUAAUAGCGCGUUUACCCGUCCGCAAGGAUUAGGGUUUGUAGUACACAUAAGACACGAAGCCAAGUGAGCUUGCCAUGAGCAGGGUGAAUCUCGCCGAAAGGCGUGAGGAGGCCCGAACCUACUAGCCGUGCAAUACUUUAGGAUGACUUGUGGUAAGAAGUGAAAAGCUAAUCGAACUUGGUAAUAGCUUGUUCUCUCCGAAAUAGCUUUUGGGCUAGCGUCUGAUUUAUCUUCCAGGGGUAGAGCACUGGAUGGUUCGCACAGGGAGCAAUCUCGGCAAACCAAUCAAACUCCGAAUACUGGAAGCCAGCCCGACAGAGUCAUUCUGGCGGGUAACAUAUCAGGCAGUUAGACGGCGGGGGCUAAGCUCCGUUCGUCAAAAGGGGGACAGCCCAGAUCUCAAUCUAAGGUCCCUAAAUCUACAUUAAGUGCGAACUACAAGGAGGUGAAAUUUCUUUGACAAUGAGGAAGUUGGCUUAGAAGCAGCCAUCUUUUAAAGAAAGCGUAAUAGCUCACUCAUCCAGAGAUUUCGCGCCGAAAAUUAGCGGGGCUCAAAUGUAGUACCGAAGGUGAGGGCUGGGAACAGUACAGGGGGUUAUACAGGGUCAGGGGCUUUAAAUUCAGAGCUUCUGACCCUCUUCCUGUACUGUUCCCAGCGGUAGGAGAGUAUUCCUAUCCGCAGUGAAGGAGUAUCCGCGAGGAACUCUGGAGUGAUAGGAAGUAAGAAUGUUGGCACAAGUAACCACAAUGCGGGUGAGAUCCCCGCACGCCGAAAAACCAAGGUUUCCUUGGCAAUGUUGAUCAGCCAAGGGUUAGUCGGGCCUAAGCCGAUGACGAAAGUCGCAGGCGAUGGACACAGGGUUAAUAUUCCCUGACUUCUGUAUAUCUGAUGGAGUGACGAGGGUUAGUAUAUUUUGCGCAUUAUUGGAUUUGCAUUUGCUACAUAAGGGAGAUUUUUAGGAAAAUCCGGAAGUCUGUCUUUAAUGACGAUUCUAAGUGCAGUGAAAAUUCUGGGGGUAACCCCAGGAGAUAAAAUAAAGCAAGCCUCCGAGAAAAACUUCUAGGUUUAAGUAUACAGGAACCGUACCGCAAACCGACACAGGUGGUUAAGUCGAGAAGACUAAGGCGAACGAGUGAGUGUUUCCCAAGGAACUCGGCAAAAAAUCGGCCGUAACUUCGGAAUAAGGCCUCCCUGAACUGUGCAUGCAAGUGUUCUAGUUUGGGGCGCAGCGAAAGUAUCCCUGGCGACUGUUUAUCAAAAACACAGCUCCCUGCGAACUCGCAAGAGGAUGUAUAGGGGGUGACACCUGACCAAUGCCAGAAGGUCAAACAGUGUCUGUCUUAGGCGCAAGCUUAAGGCUGAACGUUGUAAGCCCUGGUGAAUGUCGGCCGUAACUAUAAACCAGGCCGUUGUAGUUACGCAAAAAAAUCUUGCUAUAUGCUGGAAAACCCGAUCUACCUAUAUGGGUAGAAAAAAAGUAAUACAAACUACGAGCACACGUCGAUGUGUCGUGACAAUGUUUGUAUGCGGACAAUCAGCAGGAAAGACUUCUGAAUCUAAUCAAAAUAAAUGAAGAAUAUACCAAGCGAUAUAGGAAACUAUAUAGCAGGGUUUACAGACGGAGAAGGAAGCUUCAAUGUCUCAAUUAAAAAAAGAUUGGAUUUCAAACAAAGUUGGAAAUUAAGCGCAUCGUUUAACAUUUCUCAAAAAGAUCGCGUUAUCCUCUCAUGGAUAAAACAUAUUUUAGGAUGUGGAACGUUGCGCGAAAGAAAAGAUGGGGUUGUAUAUUAUGAGGUAACAAAUAUUACUUCUUUAUAUACCGUUAUAAUUCCAUUUUUUCGGAGAUUUGGGUUCAGAUCGGCAUACAAGAAAAAUAAUUUUAGGAUUUUUUCUGAAAUUGUUUCAAUCAUGUAUGAAGGUCUACACAAUUCUCCAGAGGGUUUCCAAAAAGUUCUUGAAUUGAGAGAAAAACUUAAUCCAGGAAUUGGUAGAAAAAGGAAAUACACAUUACAAGAUGUAUUAACUUCAGAGGUAUCCUCAGAGACUACACGCAAGAUUGAUUCAUCGCAUUCAAAGAAUGCCGACGUGGUGGAUCAAAUGAUAUAGUCCGAUCUUUCUAGCGAUAGAAAGUCAACACAUUAAGUUAUAAAUUGAUAAACAGAGACUAGUAAGUCGGAAUAUUGUUAGUGCGAUGCUACUAAAACAUGAACGGUCCUAAGGUAGCGAAAUUCCUUGUCUGGUAAGUUCAGACGCGCACGAAUGGUGUAACGACUGGGGAACUGUCUCGGGAAACAGCUCGGUGAAAAUACAGUACCGGUGAAGAUGCCGGUUACCUGCAGUUAGACGAAAAGACCCCAGGAGCUUUACUACAGCUUAAUAUUGAGCAUACGUUUUGACUGCGUAGCAUAGAUGGGAGGAGUUGAGGGUAUGAUUUUGGUUAUACCGGAUCCGUCAGUGAAAUACCAUUCUUUUGAAGGGUAUGUUCUAACCUAAGUGGCAAAAACACUUGGAAACAGUAUUUGGUGGGUAGUUUUAGUGGGGCGCUAUCCUCCUAAAGAGUAACGGAGGAGCCUAUUAAGGUUGGCUAAGCGCGAAUGGAAACCGUGCUGAUAGUGCAUUGGCACAAGCCAGCUUAACUGUAAGACGUACAUGUCGAGCAGAUGCGAAAGCAGAGCAAAGUGAACCGACGGUCCGCAUUAGAGGCGGCCGGAGAUUAUCGGACAAAAGCUACCCUGGGGAUAACAGGCUAGUACCACCCGAGCGUCCAUAGCGACGGUGGUGUUCGGCACCUUAACUCUCGACGUAAAACUCGAGAAACAUCGGGGUGCCUAUGAGAGUAAUCUCAUACAAAAACAAUUUGGCUUAUAACGGUGGACUCCAUAUGCAAGCCUUGUAUCUAAAUGAUACAAUUACACGCAUGGACAAUACCGUGGGAAGUCUAACUCAAUUACAAGAAUCCUUGAUUAUAGGAACUCUUUUGGGAGAUGGUUAUAUUCGUAAAUUGAAAGGAUGUAGAGACGCCUUUCUUGAAAUAAAUCAUUCUUACACUCAAAAAGAGUAUGUUGAUUGGAAAUGUAAUGUUUUGAAAAAUCUAACGACAAGCAAACCGAAAACGAGGUAUGGAAGAGGGAAUCGUAUCGCCUACAGAUUUUACACAAAACAGUUACCAGAAUUGACAGAUAUUAUGAAUAUGUUCUAUGUUGGGAAUAAAAAGGUUAUUCCGGACAUAAAACUUGAUCCUACAAUACUUGCGAUUUGGUUUAUGGAUGAUGGUAGCAGAUGCCGUGAAGGGGAUGUGUAUUUAAACACACAGCAGUUUGAUAAAAGCGAUCAAUAUCGUUUGUUGAAAUCAUUGAAACUGUUGGGUUUGGAUGCUCGUCUCAAUAAGGAUAAAGAAUAUUACAGAAUUAGAUUUAUGAAAUCGAGCAUGCCUCGGUUACAUGAUCUAAUUGGAGAAUAUGUUAUCCCGUCUAUGAAAUAUAAAAUUGGGUUAUGACCCCGUAGAGACUUGACCUUAACUGGUCGGAGUGUCUGCCUACGGCAGAUGCUAACACGCCGAACUCCCUCUUUUGUUUUAUAAAAUAAAAGAGGGAUGAAGAUAUAGUCCGAUCCUUCCGGUAACGGAAGAAAAAUAUGACAGCGAUGUCGGCUCAUCUUAUCCCGGGGCUGGAGAAGGUCCCAAGGGUAUGGCUGUUCGCCAUUUAAAAAGAUACGCGAGCUGGGUUCAGACCGUUUAGGAACUAAAAGUAUAUUGUAUUUGGUAUUAAGUACAGAGUAUAAAGAAUUUCUUAUACAAAAUACUUGGUACUGCAUACUGGAUACUCGGUUUUUAAACCGUCUGAAUCCUUAGAGGAAAAUGUUUUUGCAACACGAACAUUCUGUUGAUUUGAAUCACGGCGGUCAUAUAUAGAGACAUGUAUGAACAAGCUGACUUAUAUCGGUGAAGCCCCACGCGGGUUACACCUAGGGAAUGGUUCGACUUCGCUCACCACGAGUGAAUAGAAUUCAGCCCAUAGAGACUAAACGUCAGCUACCCUAAACACAUAAGUGUCGGGUAAAGCUAUAGUCCAUGCGCCGAGCAAUCGGUGAGAUACAUGCGUGAGACAGGUUGGUCUCCUAUCUACUGCAGGCGUUGAUUAUUGAGAAGAUUUGCUCCUAGUAGACCUAAAUGGGUUUUGCUACUUCACGAAGAAAUUUGUGAUGAAAACAUGGCUAAUAACGGUGAAGUCUUCAUUAGUUUCUGAUCCCUAUAGCGAACAUAUUACAACGGUCCAGUUGAUAUGUUGAGAAUUUACUUGAGGACCAGAAAAUGAUAAGAUAAUACCGUGGGAAGUCGUGUAAUAAUUAAAAUAUGAAAAUAAAAUAAAUUCCGCAAGCAAUAUUAAAUUACGAUUUAUCCAAAAAAAUAUUUUGGAUAAUUUAAUAUUAUUUGUAAUUUCUUAUUUAAGUUCAUUAGAAUAAAAAAUUAUUACAUUGACCCCGUAACGACUGAUCCCGCCAAGGCGGGAGAGACUUAGAUAAUCAUGGAAGGUUUUGUAUAAUGCAAAACAGUGUUAUCUCUGUAAUACGCCAUCCCUUAAUCUGCCACAAGCAGAGAAGGUGAAGAUAUAGUCUGCUCUCCUAGAAAUAGGGGGAAAAGUGACGAGAGGACCGGAGUGAACUGACCUCUGGUGUGAGAGCUGUCCUGCCAAGGGCACCGCUCUAUAGCUAAGUCGGGAUUGGAUAACCUCUGAAAGCAUCUAAGAGGGAAGCCAGCUUCAAGAUUAGUAAUCGUUUGAGAUCCCCAAGAGAUGAUUGGGU